UGGGUCGGCCAGACGAUCGCGGCACGCAAGUGACGAGGAACGUCCGGGCUCCAUAGAGCAAGGUGGUGGGUAACGCCCACCCGGGGAAACCCGCGAGAAAGUGCAACAGAGAGUAAACCGCCACGCAAGUGGUAAGGCUGAAACGGUGGUGUAAGAGACCACCAGCGGGGCGUGUGAGCGCCUCGGCUAGGUAAACCUCACCUGGAGCAAGGCCAGAUAGUGUGCGCCUUAGCCGGCUCGGCUAUGCACACGGGUAGGCUGCUCGAGCCUAACGGCAACGUUAGGCCUAGAUAGAUGAUCGUCGCCCGAAAGGGAACAAAACCCGGCGUAUCGGCCGGCCCGUCCA
rnacentral:RNase_P_RNA from 1 species